AUUACCCGCUGAACUUAAGCAUAUCAAUAAGCGGAGGAAAAGAAACCAACAGGGAUUACCUUAGUAACGGCGAGUGAAGCGUAAAAGCUCAAAUUUGAAAUCUAGCACUUUCAGUGUUCGAGUUGUAAUUUGAAGAAGGUAUCUUUGGAGUUGGCCCCCGUCUAUGUUCCUUGGAACAGGACGUCACAGAGGGUGAGAAUCCCGUGCGAUGGGGAGACCAAUUCUAUGUAAAGUUCCUUCGAAGAGUCGAGUUGUUUGGGAAUGCAGCUCUAAGUGGGUGGUAAAUUCCAUCUAAAGCUAAAUAUUGGCGAGAGACCGAUAGCGAACAAGUACAGUGAUGGAAAGAUGAAAAGAACUUUGAAAAGAGAGUG
rnacentral:rRNA from 1 species